AUGUACUCUGUUUCUUCUCAGAGUGCCGUCUCAGCGGAGAAGGGAGUAUCAAGCGAGACAUCAUCAUCAACCCGAGCAAAGGUCGCAGGUGCCGCGUGCUACCUGCUGGCACGCCACACACUGCAAGCAGUGGGAGGGCCCAGGACACCCACCCUCCUGCACAAUGAUGCUCCAAGGAAAUUCAACCAAGCCUUUGAGCUCUCCAAUCCCGACGCCUUCUUCCAAAGCUACUCGGUCUGCCGUGACACCAUCCAUCAGAUGCUCGCGCAGACGCCGCUCCUCCGCGACAUCGACCUUGCUGCCGACAACUGGGACUGCUACCUUCCCCAUGAUCUGGCCAAGUUCAUGGCGGACGGGUCCCGCCGUGACACCGACGAGCACGAUGGCGUCACCCUCCGCUACAACAUGGAAAUGUCUUUGACCAUCUGGGUGGAGGUCAUCUACAGAGAGCCCAAGGCGCUGCUCCUGGCGUGCGACGAGCGUGCCACGGUGACUCGAUGCCUAUUCGCAGCAACGCCGACCGACUGCCCUAUAUGCAUGGAGGAUUUCGCCAGCGACGACAGUGACACCACCGUGAGGGUGAGGCUGCCGUGCUCCCACUGCUUCCACCGCGGCUGCAUCUUGCCGUGGUUCUACAAGGUGGCCAAGUGCCCAAAGUGUCGCCAUGACUUGGGCAAGUACCUUGUCGCCGCCACCGACACCCCAAUGGUGACUCUCUUCUUAGUAUCAUGUGGUCAAAUGGAUCAUCUUUUGGUAUCUACCGGUCAAUUGGACCCUCGGCAAAAUCCAACUGCUGGUGUUUCUUCUGGACAGCAAUUUUCUCGGUCAAAAAAGGUCGAUAAAUGGCUAGACGUGUCGCAACUUACAUAUGGUGUCAGAAAUAGUUCAAACCUGCCAUGGAUGCCUACCAUGGGCAUGUCAACCUAG
rnacentral:rRNA from 1 species